AUUCUAUUCUACAAUUCAGACACAAGACGGUCAUUGGGCUGGAGAAAUGGGGGGACCAAUGUUUUUUACGCCUCCCUUAGUUUUCACGCUGUAUAUCACGAAAACUCUUAAUACAAUUUUAACUUCGCAAGAACAUAUCAGAGAGAGUCUCCGAUAUAUGUAUUGUCAUCAGAACGCAGAUGGAGGUUUCGGGUUCCAU